AUUUUAUUUUUAUAAUUUUUGUGUGUAUUUAGUUUUGUGGAUUUUAUAGUGAUUUUCAAUUUGAUUAUGUUAAAAUUUUAUUUGUUUCUUUUGUUAUUUUGGUUUAUUUAAUUGUUUAUAUUGGAAUGUUUCCUUUAUUUUUUGUUGGUUUGUAAUUAUUGUGGAAUUAGUAAAUUUGUUUGUUUGUAUUGUUUAUAUUUUUGUAUAAUUUCUUUUGAGGAAUUAGGCAAAUUUUGUGUCCGCCUGUUUAACAAAAACAUCUUUUCUUGUUAGUUUUUGAAGUAUGGCCUGCCCGCUGACAUUGAGUGUUGAAGGGCCGCGGUAUUUUGACCGUGCAAAGGUAGCAUAAUCAUUAGUUCUUUAAUUGUGAUCUGGAAUGAAUGGCUUGACGAGGCACGGGCUGUCUUAGUGUUGAAUGUUUUAUUGAAUUUGGUCUUUGAGUUAAAAUUCUUAAAUGUUUUUGUGGGACGAGAAGACCCUAUAGAGUUUGACAUUUGGUUUAUUUCCUGUUUGGUUGUUUGUUUGUUUUGUUGGUGAGUGGGCUUUUUGUUUUGUUGGGGUGAUGAGAGGAAUAUGUUUAACUCCUCUUGGUUUUGGUUAUAUUGAUUUAUAGUUGUUUGAUCCAUUUAUUUUGAUUAUAAGACUAAAUUAC
rnacentral:rRNA from 1 species